UGGCCCAUUGUUAUUCGUUUGAAUCAGCACAGGAAGGAGAAUCUCGUCGUCCACCUCUCCCCAAACCACCACCCCCGUGGAAGAAGCCCCAGCCACAGAACAGACUUGCCUCUCUGCCCUAUUUUCUCUCCCCUCGGGCGACGGCGGCGGGGUGCUGCCCGGCGAGAUGUCCACCAGACGCCGGGUUCGGGCUCUCUGGAGCACUCAUCCUCUUACACUCCGGCGGCCAAAUCACCCGGAUCCCGCGUCAUCUUCCACUUCGGCGGCGACUCAACUCAAGUUUGCACAACACCGGAUCUGCCCAGGGCAAGGUCCUCGUCCACGGAUCUAUCCGGGAAAAAUCAUUUUCUACAUUGUUUCGGUCGGUGAGGCUGGAUCACACAUCAAUUACUUGUGCUUUUCUCCUAGCUGUUGUUCAUCUGUUUCAGAUUUGCACUUUUUUGGUGAUUUUUAUUUUGUUCCAUCUAUUCCUUUGGUACGGGUGGUCUAGGUGUAUGGCUCGAUCGAGAUGCAUAUCACUUCUGUUAUUGAAUCCAAAAUAGGCUGCUCUUUUUUUUCUUGUAAUCCCCUUCCAUCUAUUCCUUAUGUGCAGAUGCGAUUUUCUUUUCUUUGCUUGUAAUCCCCUUCGUCUGAACUAGAUAAGUCUCUCCUCAUCCUGUUGCUGCGCAGAUCUGAAUUUGCCGUGAUGUUUGUUUAGACAAUAUAUAGAAUUUUUUUGUUCAUACCCAUGCUUAUGUGCCAGAUCGGCUUCAUUUUUCUGAUGUCUUGAGGAUUCCUCUAACUUGGAUAAUCGAUGCUUAAUCCUGAUGGAACUUAAUAAUGGAUUUGAUGUUCUGUUCUUGAGCUAAUCCAAGGUUCAUAAUUAUUUCAUUCAAGUGGGGUAAAGUUUGAAUUCCUACCACUGAUUGCCAAGAUUUUCUGUUCCAUGGAUUUCAGUUUGUUUCGUUGACCCCUUAUCCACCGGAGUCACAGACUUGAGCAACGCUGAAGAUCAAGUGUGCCGUGGCGGCAAGGCCGCAUCCCUUGCCGGAAACGCUGGUUGAGCUACAAGUGGCUGGACCAAAAGGUAUUUUAGAUUAAAAUGUUCUCAUCCAAAAAAACCUUUAAUUCUGAACAUAGUAUGUGUCGGCCUUGUUCUUUGUUAGAUUUUGAAUAUAACCACAUUUCUCUCCUGAAAUCAGUAUCGUACAAGAUCGAAUUUCGUGGCUUCUGUGUCCCUUGUGUGAGAAACAUUCUGUGGGUUAGAUAUUUAGGAAAAAAAAUAUGAUGAUGCAUUUGUGUUCUACUGCGUUUGUAUGGUUGUCAAUCAGUGUCCCAGAUGGAUGGGCUUUGUUUAUUCACAAAAUGAAUUUGACAUGUCUGGAUGCAUUGCGUGAUUGGCUUGUUCUUUGUUCACUGCAUAACUUACUUCGGAGCAUCCUCUAAUGAAGCGGUUUCUGUUCUGUUCUUGAUCAGAACCAUGCUGAUAUGGUCUGUAUCAUGAACACUGAAGUAGAAGGCGUUUAAUCUGAUGCAUUUUUCUACUGUUGUGAUCUUGUAAUAUUGCCUUCUGGCCAGUUCAGCAAAAUCCCUGGUUGAAGCUACUCAAGCUCUGUUUCUUUGGCUGUUAUUCUCUGUCGGCGAUCCAUUCGACUUGGGCAUAUGUUUGUAAUUAUUGUAAUGGAUUUGUACCAUUUGUGAACCAUGUCAAAUUGUUAAAGAUGGGUGAUGGGUAUUCCAAUUA